rnacentral:lncRNA from 1 species
GCUGGGCAUGGUGGCACAUGCCUGUAAUCCCAGCUACUCGGGAGGCUGAGGCAGGAGAAUCGCUUGAACCUGGGAGGAGGAGGUUGCAGUAGGCUGAGAUCGUGCCACUGCACUCCAGCCUGGGCGACAGAGCGAGACUCUGUCUCAAAAAAUAAUGAUAACUUUUCUUAGCGAUAAGAUCUCUCUGUCACUCAGGCUGGAGUGCAGUGACACGAUCAUAGCUCAUUGCAGCCUGGGCUCAAGUGAUCCUCCCAC